rnacentral:rRNA from 1 species
GAAUUUUGGACACUGGGCGAAAGCCUGAUCCAGCAUUGCCGCGUGCAGGAUGAAGGCCUUCGGGUUGUAAACUUCUUUUGUACGGACCGAAAAGAUCUGGGUUAAUACCCUGGAGUCAUUACGGUACAGGAAGAACAAGCACUGCCUAACGACGUGCCAGCAGCCGCGGUAAGACGUAGGGUGCAAGCGUUAAUCGGGAUUACUGGGCGUAAAGCGUGCGCAGGCGGUUUUGUAAGACAGAGGUGAAAUCCCCGGGCUCAACCUGGGAACUGCCUUUGUGACUGCAAGGCUAGAGUACGGCAGAGGGGGGUGGAAUUCCGCGUGUAUCAGUGAAAUGCGUAGAUAUGCGGAGGAACACCGAUGGCGAAGGCAACCCCCUGGGCCUGUACUGACGCUCAUGCACGAAAGCGUGGGGAGCAAACA